rnacentral:ncRNA from 2 species
UAUAUGUACUAGGGGAGCUGACUAGAGCAGCUGAGAAAAAGAUGAAUGUCUUUGACCCUUGAACUUGAUCUGGAUGAUGCCAGCGUAAGGAAGUAUUUUUUAUACUUA